rnacentral:rRNA from 1 species
AUUGAACGCUUGCGGCAGGCCUAACACAUGCAAGUCGGGCGAGUGGCGGACGGGUGAGUAAUGUAUGGGGAUCUGCCUGAUGGAUGGGGAUAACUAGUGGAAACGGUAGCUAAUACCGCAUACCAUCAGAUGAACCCAUAUGGGAUUAGCUUGUAGGUAAGGUAACGGCUCACCUAGGCUACGAUCCCUAGCUGGUCUGAGAGGAGGAUCAGCCACACUGGAACUGAGACACGGCCCAGACUCCUACGGGAGGCAGCAGUGGGGAAUAUUGCACAAUGGGCGCAAACCUGAUGCAGCCAUGCCGCGUGUAUGAAGAAGGCCUUCGGGUUGUAAAGUACUUUCAGUAGGGAGGCGUUACCGACAGAAGAAGCACCGGCUAACUCCGUGCCAGCAGCCGCGGUAAUUC